rnacentral:rRNA from 1 species
ACGCUGGCGGCAGGCUUAACACAUGCAAGUCGAACGGUAACAGGAAUUAGCUUGCUAAUUUGCUGACGAGUGGCGGACGGGUGAGUAAUGCUUGGGAAUCUGGCUUAUGGAGGGGGAUAACUACGGGAAACUGUAGCUAAUACCGCGUAAAAUCUUCGGAUUAAAGGGUGGGACUUUCGAGCCACCUGCCAUAAGAUGAGCCCAAGUGGGAUUAGGUAGUUGGUUAGGUAAAGGCUGACCAAGCCGACGAUCUCUAGCUGGUCUGAGAGGAUGACCAGCCACACUGGAACUGAGACACGGUCCAGACUCCUACGGGAGGCAGCAGUGGGGAAUAUUGCACAAUGGGGGGAACCCUGAUGCAGCCAUGCCGCGUGAAUGAAGAAGGCCUUCGGGUUGUAAAGUUCUUUCGGUGACGAGGAAGGUUGAUAGGUUAAUAGCCUAUCAAAUUGACGUUAAUCACAGAAGGAGCACCGGCUAACUCCGUGCCAGCAGCCGCGGUAAUACGGGGGGUGCGAGCGUUAAUCGGAAUAACUGGGCGUAAAGGGCACGCAGGCGGUGACUUAAGUGAGAUGUGAAAGCCCCGAGCUUAACUUGGGAAUUGCAUUUCAUACUGGGUCGCUAGAGUACUUUAGGGAGGGGUAGAAUUCCACGUGUAGCGGUGAAAUGCGUAGAGAUGUGGAGGAAUACCGAAGGCGAAGGCAGCCCCUUGGGAAUGUACUGACGCUCAUGUGCGAAAGCGUGGGGAGCAAACAGGAUUAGAUACCCUGGUAGUCCACGCUGUAAACGAUGUCGAUUUGGGGAUUGGGCUUUGAGCUUGGUGCCCGUAGCUAACGUGAUAAAUCGACCGCCUGGGGAGUACGGCCGCAAGGUUAAAACUCAAAUGAAUUGACGGGGGCCCGCACAAGCGGUGGAGCAUGU